rnacentral:rRNA from 1 species
CAUGCAAGUCGAGCGGGGUUAGUUAGAAGCUUGCUUCUAAUUAACCUAGCGGCGGACGGGUGAGUAACACGUAGGCAACCUGCCCACAAGACAGGGAUAACUACCGGAAACGGUAGCUAAUACCCGAUACAUCCUUUUCCUGCAUGGGAGAAGGAGGAAAGGCGGAGCAAUCUGUCACUUGUGGAUGGGCCUGCGGCGCAUUAGCUAGUUGGUGGGGUAAAGGCCUACCAAGGCGACGAUGCGUAGCCGACCUGAGAGGGUGAUCGGCCACACUGGGACUGAGACACGGCCCAGACUCCUACGGGAGGCAGCAGUAGGGAAUCUUCCGCAAUGGGCGAAAGCCUGACGGAGCAACGCCGCGUGAGUGAUGAAGGUUUUCGGAUCGUAAAGCUCUGUUGCCAGGGAAGAACGCCUGGUAGAGUAACUGCUCUUAGAGUGACGGUACCUGAGAAGAAAGCCCCGGCUAACUACGUGCCAGCAGCCGCGGUAAUACGUAGGGGGCAAGCGUUGUCCGGAAUUAUUGGGCGUAAAGCGCGCGCAGGCGGCUCUUUAGUCUGGUGUUUAUCCCGAGGCUCAACUUCGGGUCGCACUGGAAACUGGGGAGCUUGAGUGGAGAAGAGGAGAGUGGAAUUCCACGUGUAGCGGUGAAAUGGGUAGAGAUGUGGAGGAACACCAGGGGCG